rnacentral:lncRNA from 1 species
UGAGGCCAUAAAACAACAUCUACUUACACUUAAGCCAAGACAUGAUCAUGAGGUUUCUUUUCAAUUGCAUAGUUCAUAGUUGGAUUUUUACAAGAACAUUUGCUUCCCUGUUUGGAUGUCGUGAGUCACAACAAGGUAUGAGCUGCUGCUAUGUUUUCUAUAUUCUAUCUCAGUAUUUUUCUUCCCUUAAAAUCUUUGUACAAAUUAUUCCAUUUCAUGUUAGUUGAUACUUUGUGUUUGCAAACAAAGCUCAGACCUAUCUCUCUCAGGGCAUUACUUCCAUACCACACAUGAUUUUAUUUUCUUUGCAGACAUCAACGAUAGGGACCAUGCUAUUGAAUGCAUUAGCUGAUUCAGAUGCCAACGGGGAAUUCUGCGAAGAGACAUUUGUGGCCAAUGUGCAGGUAUGCACGAUAAUGUGUGUGUUUCGCAUUAUCCAUUUGUUAUUGAACCUUUGUCUCUAUUCUGUCAUCAAUCAAAGGCUUCAUGCUGAGAUUGAACCAACCAUGAAAAUGAGAACCGAAGAAAAGAUUAUUAUCUCUUUCUCCCAUCAUUGGGAUCAACCCUUUUAGGCUUUCAGGUUGAGCAGCGACUUUACAUAUAAACGGACCUCCGUAACAAUUUGUACAGUGCUAGGCAAUUGAAGAAAUAUGAUAGCUCUAAAAUGCAUGCCACUUUAUUUACAAUUCUGUGCAAUUAUGGAGCAGAUAUUGAGCCCACAUAGUGCACUUCAUUAUACAACAUAUAACAUGAACGAUAUGUAAUAUUUAUCUGUCAUUACUUGUCUGGCUCGAACUCAGUAGGACAUAUCUUUUCCUGCUCACAUGGUUUCUAAAGUCAGUGACUGGCAGUUUUGGCAACACAUGGUACAUGCGCUCGGAAUGAAGGCCUGGAUGUGCUGAACAGGUUUGGCACACACUACUGGACACACUUGGUUUGAUACUACGUAACCAAAUAGACUCUGGAUUUAACACAAUUCAGCUAUAUGGUCUCCCCAAUUUAUUUCAGAGGGCUACACACUCAUCAAAUCAGUGGAUCAGAUGGAAAUUAUGCUUCUGACCCAGCUGUUAAAAUAUACAAAGCUGCAUAAAUCAACUUGAACAUUUUAGAUGUCUCAUCAAGACCUCCUCAUGUGUCUCUGUUUAUAUUCACCCAUCGAGAUUUCUAUCUAUGUACUUUGCCAAUAUGUGUCAUAUAUAAUGUAAUUAACAAAUGGGCCUACAUAAAACCUUUAAUUGACUGCCACUCAACCAAGCUCUACAGUCUACUAUUUGUUCUUCAUCUUUAAUAAACAAAAAAAUGAAAAAUUUAGAUGAGUAAGAAAACAACUUUUUACUAUUUUAUCAUUGGUUAUCGUGCGUGCAAUUUUACUAGUUUCCUUGGUCUGAAAGCCUUACCAUCAUUUUCUUCUUGCAGGCGGCCAUGGCAAGAGCAUAUUGUGCAGAGGACGUGGAUGAGAAGAAACUUAUGGUUCUCAUUCAAUCUUUGUGGAACUCUCUUUAUGUGCGAUUGUGCAUUUGUUGGAACCUUUUUUCUGUGCACUUGCACAAGUAUUCUGUUGUGCACAUGUAAAAUUAUUUUGAUGUGUCCUUGUUAGGUGUUGAACCUUAAUGCGUGGAGUCAGUGGAUGAUGUAUUGUAUUUGAUGUGAUAUGCUAUUGAAAUGAAAUAUACAUUUUAUUUGCAAUCUUUUAUUUUGUUGUACUUAUUUUUAAUGGGCCUAUCUUGAGAUAUGCGUGCUUCUAGCAAAAAAAAUGCUU